AACGAACGCUGGCGGCAUGCUUUACACAUGCAAGUCGAACGGUAACAGGCCGCAAGGUGCUGACGAGUGGCGAACGGGUGAGUAAUGCAUCGGAACGUGCCCAGUCGUGGGGGAUAACGCAGCGAAAGCUGCGCUAAUACCGCAUACGAUCUAUGGAUGAAAGCGGGGGACCGUAAGGCCUCGCGCGAUUGGAGCGGCCGAUGUCAGAUUAGGUAGUUGGUGGGGUAAAGGCUCACCAAGCCGACGAUCUGUAGCUGGUCUGAGAGGACGACCAGCCACACUGGGACUGAGACACGGCCCAGACUCCUACGGGAGGCAGCAGUGGGGAAUUUUGGACAAUGGGCGCAAGCCUGAUCCAGCAAUGCCGCGUGCAGGAAGAAGGCCUUCGGGUUGUAAACUGCUUUUGUACGGAACGAAAAGGCUCUGGAUAAUACCUGGGGCUCAUGACGGUACCGUAAGAAUAAGCACCGGCUAACUACGUGCCAGCCGCCGCCGUAAGAC
rnacentral:rRNA from 1 species